UACGGAGGAUUCAAGCGUUAUCCGGAAUUACUGGGUGUAAAGGGAGCGUAGACGGUGAUGUAAGUCUGGAGUGAAAGGCGGGGGCCCAACCCCCGGACUGCUUUGGGAACUGUACGGCUGGAGUGCAGGAGAGGUAAGUGGAAUUCCUAGUGUAGCGGUGAAAUGCGUAGAUAUUAGGAGGAACACCAGUGGCGAAGGCGGCCUGCUGGACGGUGACUGACGCUGAGGCUCGAAAGCGUGGGGAGCAAACAGG
rnacentral:rRNA from 1 species